CUGAUUAAUAAUUAAAGGGCUGCAGUAUAUUGACUGUACAAAGGUAGCAUAAUAAUUAGUCUUUUAAUUGAAGACUUGUAUGAAAGAUUUGAUGAGAUAUAAACUGUCUCUUUUUUAAAAUUAAAAUUUAAUUUUUUAGUAAAAAAGCUAAAAUAAAUUUAAAAGACGAGAAGACCCUAUAGAGUUUUAUAAUUGAAUUAUUUAAAAAUUUAUUUUUAAUUUAAAAAAUAAUUAGUUUAAUUAUUUUAUUGGGGUGAUAAAAAAAUUAAAAUAACUUUUUUUUUUAUUUUAAACAUUAAUUAAUGAAUAAUUGAUCCAUAAUUUAUGAUUAUAAGAAAAAAUUACCUUAGGGAUAACAGCGUAAUUUUUUUUUUUAGUUCUUAUAAGAAAAAAAGUUUGCGACCUCGAUGUUGGAUUAAGAUAAAAUUUAAAUGCAGAAGUUUAAAGUUUUGAUCUGUUCGAUCAUUAAAAUCUUACAUGAUCUGAGCUCAAACC
rnacentral:rRNA from 1 species